rnacentral:rRNA from 1 species
CAGCAGCCGCGGGAAUACGAAGGGGGCUAGCGUUGUUCGGAAUUACUGGGCGUAAAGGGCGCGUAGGCGGCCAUUCAAGUUAGAUGUGAAAGCCCUGGGCUCAACCUAGGAAUUGCAUUUGAUACUGUUUGGCUUGAGUUCGGGAGAGGUGAGUGGAAUUCCCAGUGUAGAGGUGAAAUUCGUAGAUAUUGGGAAGAACACCAGUGGCGAAGGCGGCUCACUGGACCGACACUGACGCUGAGGCGCGAAAGCGUGGGGAGCAAACAGGAUUAGAUACCCGCGUAGUCCCUGUCUCUUAUAC